UACGUGAGUACGAAAGCGUGGGGGCAACAGGAUAGAUACCUGGUAUCCACGCGUAAAGAUGAGUGCUAGGGUCAGGGGUUUCCGCCCUUGUGCUGGAGUAACGCAUUAAGCACUCCGCCUGGGGAGUACGGCCGCAAGGCUGAAACUCAAAAGAAUUGACGGGGGCCCGCACAAGCGGUGGAGCAUGUGGUUUAAUUCGACGCUACGCGAAGAACCUUACCAGGUCUUGACAUCCUCUGCUACUCCUAGAGAUAGGACGCUCCCCUCGGGGACAGAGUGACAGGUGGUGCAUGGUUGUCGUCAGCUCGUGUCGUGAGAUGUUGGGUUAAGUCCCGUAACGAGCGGAACCCUUGAUCUUAGUUGCCAGCAUUCAGUUGGGCACUCUAAGGUGACUGCCGGUGAUAAACCGGAGGAAGGUGGGGACGACGUCAAAUCAUCAUGCCCCUUAUGACCUGGGCUACACACGUGCUACAAUGGAUGGAACAACGGGAAGCGAAACCGCGAGGUGAAGCCAAUCCCAUAAAACCAUUCCCAGUUCGGAUUGUAGGCUGCAACUCGCCUACAUGAAGCAGGAAUCGCUAGUAAUCGCGGAUCAGCAUGCCGCGGUGAAUACGUUCCCGGGCCUUGUACACACCGCCCGUCACACCACGAGAGUUGAUAACACCCGAAGUCGGUGGGGUAACCUUUAUGGAACUAGCCGCCGAAGGUGGGAUCAAUGAUUGGGGUGAAGUCGUAACAAGUAACCGUAAACCAUGGCGGCCGGAGCAUGCGACGUCGGCCCAUCG
rnacentral:rRNA from 1 species